rnacentral:rRNA from 1 species
UACGAAGGGGGCUAGCGUUGUUCGGAAUUACUGGGCGUAAAGCGCGCGCAGGCGGUCCUUUAAGUCAGGGGUGAAAGCCCAGAGCUCAACUCUGGAACUGCCUUUGAAACUAGAGGACUUGGGUACGGGAGAGGUGAGUGGAAUUCCACGUGUAGCAGUGAAAUGCGUAGAUAUGUGGAGGAACACCGAUGGCGAAGGCAGCCCCCUGGGUUAACACUGACGCUCAUGCACGAAAGCGUGGGGAGCAAACAGG